UUUCGCCUCUCUGGUGCAAUCCUGAGCCAAAACCUGCGGGCAUGAGUGAGGCAUCUCUGCCUUGAACUUCUUGUUGUUGAAUGUGACCACAGUGUCCUCGGUUACGUUGCACUCAGCUGGACAAAAAAGAUAUCCAACAGAUCACGGGAACUUACAGCCUUGAGAGCUCUUUGCAUCUUGGUGAUCCUAUCGGUGUUGUCAGGAAGCUCCUGGAUCUUCAGAAGGGCUUCCUGGAUGCCCUCAGUUCUCACUCCAACCUGAUAAGGGCCAGAACACCUUCGAUUUGAACUCGCAAAGGCAGGUCAGCAGCAGCGCUGCCAAAGUGAGAGCCCGGGCAGCCCAGUCAUGGAUCGGCUGUGGAGGAAAAUAAAAACAUACAAUCAUGCUGAUGUUACAAGUACAACAUAAAGUAUAUGGUUGGAGAAAAGCAAAAGUACCAAGCCAUCAUACCUUGAUG